GCAUAUACUAUGCUCCGAGCCGGUUAAUCUAAGGCGUAUAACGUUAUGAUUUUCUGGCCAUUAGGGUUCGACAGGAAACUUGCGGGCCUUCCAGGGUGAAAAGGGGAUGCUCAUAUGGAUAC
rnacentral:ncRNA from 2 species